rnacentral:misc_RNA from 1 species
AAGUCAUAACAAGGUUUCCGUAGGUGAACCUGCGGAAGGAUCAUUAAUGAUGCCCUCGAAGUCCUUGGACUGGUAGGGUUUGUGUCGGUCUCUUCGGAGUCGACCUUAUCUCACACACCGUGAACUGUGGCUUCGGCCAUUUACACAAACUGUUAGUAAUGAAUGUAAUAUCAUAACAAACAUAAAA